rnacentral:lncRNA from 1 species
GAGUGAGCAGACAUCCAUGUGACUUCUUGUGUUGGUCACACUCGAUGCUAGUUGGUCUCUAACAACCACCUGCAUUCUCACUUUAGUGUCACUACACCACAGACUCAAGACUCAUCUGUCCUAAGAAAGCAAUCCGUGCACUGAUCUAUCUGGAUCAAUCACCAUCUCCAUAAUGAUCUUAUGACUAGGAGUAGUUUAGAAAUUAACCAUCAAUGACAUA